rnacentral:misc_RNA from 1 species
GGGAGCGGGCUUGCUCGCGAAUGCAGUGCGUCAGUAGGUACAUCCUUGACUGAUACACCACAUUCGCGAGCAAGCCCGCUCCU